GACGAACGCUGGCGGCGUGCUUAACACAUGCAAGUCGAACGGAAAGGCCCUGCUUGCAGGGUACUCGAGUGGCGAACGGGUGAGUAACACGUGGGUGAUCUGCCCUGCACUUCGGGAUAAGCCUGGGAAGCUGGGUCUAAUACCGGAUAGGAGCCAUUUUUAGUGUGAUGGUUGGAAAGUUUUUUCGGUGUAGGAUGAGCUCGCGGCCUAUCAGCUUGUUGGUGGGGUAAUGGCCUACCAAGGCGGCGACGGGUAGCCGGCCUGAGAGGGUGGACGGCCACAUUGGGACUGAGAUACGGCCCAGACUCCUACGGGAGGCAGCAGUGGGGAAUAUUGCACAAUGGGCGCAAGCCUGAUGCAGCGACGCCGCGUGGGGGAGGACGGCCUUCGGGUUGUAAACUCCUUUCGCUAGGGACGAAGCUUUUUGUGACGGUACCUAGAGAAGAAGCACCGGCUAACUACGUG
rnacentral:rRNA from 1 species